rnacentral:rRNA from 1 species
ACGUGAGUAACCUGCCCUUGACUCUGGAAUAAGCGUUGGAAACGACGUCUAAUACUGGAUACGAGCUUCAGCCGCAUGGCUAGGAGCUGGAAAGAAUUUCGGUCAAGGAUGGACUCGCGGCCUAUCAGGUAGUUGGUGAGGUAAUGGCUCACCAAGCCUACGACGGGUAGCCGGCCUGAGAGGGUGACCGGCCACACUGGAACUGAGACACGGUCCAGACUCCUACGGGAGGCAGCAGUGGGGAAUAUUGCACAAUGGGCGCAAGCCUGAUGCAGCAACGCCGCGUGAGGGACGACGGCCUUCGGGUUGUAAACCUCUUUUAGUAGGGAAGAAGCGAAAGUGACGGUACCUGCAGAAAAAGCACCGGCUAACUACGUGCCAGCAGCCGCGGUAAUACGUAGGGUGCAAGCGUUAUCCGGAAUUAUUGGGCGUAAAGAGCUCGUAGGCGGUUUGUCGCGUCUGCUGUGAAAACUGGAGGCUCAACCUCCAGCCUGCAGUGGGUACGGGCAGACUAGAGUGCGGUAGGGGAGAUUGGAAUUCCUGGUGUAGCGGUGGAAUGCGCAGAUAUCAGGAGGAACACCAAUGGCGAAGGCAGAUCUCUGGGCCGUAACUGACGCUGAGGAGCGAAAGCAUGGGGAGCGAACAGGAUUAGAUACCCUGGUAGUCCAUGCCGUAAACGUUGGGAACUAGAUGUAGGGGCCAUUCCACGGUUUCUGUGUCGCAGCUAACGCAUUAAGUUCCCCGCCUGGGAUGCAACGCGAAGAACCUUACCAAGACUUGACAUAUACGAGAACGGGCUAGAAAUAGUCAACUCUUUGGACACUCGUAAACAGGUGGUGCAUGGUUGUCGUCAGCUCGUGUCGUGAGAUGUUGGGUUAAGUCCCGCAACGAGCGCAACCCUCGUUCUUUGUUGCCAGCACGUAAUGGUGGGAACUCAAAGGAGACUGCCGGGGUCAACUCGGAGGAAGGUGGGGAUGACGUCAAAUCAUCAUGCCCCUUAUGUCUUGGGCUUCACGCAUGCUACA